UGGGGAAUAUUGCACAAUGGGCGCAAGCCUGAUGCAGCCAUGCCGCGUGUGUGAAGAAGGCCUUCGGGUUGUAAAGCACUUUCAGCGAGGAGGAAGGUGGUGAGCUUAAUACGCUCAUCAAUUGACGUUACUCGCAGAAGAAGCACCGGCUAACUCCGUGCCAGCAGCCGCGGUAAUACGGAGGGUGCAAGCGUUAAUCGGAAUUACUGGGCGUAAAGCGCACGCAGGCGGUUUGUUAAGUCAGAUGUGAAAUCCCCGGGCUCAACCUGGGAACUGCAUUUGAAACUGGCAAGCUAGAGUCUCGUAGAGGGGGGUAGAAUUCCAGGUGUAGCGGUGAAAUGCGUAGAGAUCUGGAGGAAUACCGGUGGCGAAGGCGGCCCCCUGGACGAAGACUGACGCUCAGGUGCGAAAGCGUGGGGAGCAAAACAGGAUUAGAUACCCUGGUAGUCCACGCUGUAAACGAUGUCGAUUUUGGAGGUUGUGCCCCUUGAGGCGUGGCUUCCGGAGCUAACGCGUUAAAUCGACCGCCUGGGGAGUACGGCCGCAAGGUUAAAACUCAAAUGAAUUGAC
rnacentral:rRNA from 1 species